rnacentral:pre_miRNA from 13 species
AUAUAUACACACACACACAAAUGUGUGUAGAUAUAUAUAUAUACACACAAAUAUGUGUGUGUGUAUAUAUAUA